rnacentral:rRNA from 1 species
GAGUUUGAUCAUGGCUCAGGAUGAACGCUGGCGGCGUGCCUAAUACAUGCAAGUCGAGCGAACAGACGGGGAGCUUGCUCCCCUGACGUUAGCGGCGGACGGGUGAGUAACACGUGGGUAACCUACCUAUAAGACUGGAAUAACUCCGGGAAACCGGGGCUAAUGCCGGAUAACAUGUUGGACCGCAUGGUCCUACAGUGAAAGACGGUCUUGCUGUCACUUAUAGGUGGACCCGCGCCGUAUUAGCUAGUUGGUAAGGUAACGGCUUACCAAGGCAACGAUACGUAGCCGACCUGAGAGGGUGAUCGGCCACACUGGAACUGAGACACGGUCCAGACUCCUACGGGAGGCAGCAGUAGGGAAUCUUCCGCAAUGGGCGAAAGCCUGACGGAGCAACGCCGCGUGAGUGAUGAAGGCC